rnacentral:rRNA from 1 species
CAUAAGUAACGAUAAAGCGGGUGAAAAGCCCGCUCGCCGGAAGACCAAGGGUUCCUGUCCAACGUUAAUCGGGGCAGGGUGAGUCGACCCCUAAGGCGAGGCCGAAAGGCGUAGUCGAUGGGAAACAGGUUAAUAUUCCUGUACUUGGUGUUACUGCGAAGGGGGGACGGAGAAGGCUAUGUUAGCCGGGCGACGGUUGUCCCGGUUUAAGCAUGUAGGCGGAGGUUCCAGGUAAAUCCGGUACCUUUUAACGCUGAGGUGUGAUGACGAGGCACUACGGUGCUGAAGUAACAAAUGCCCUGCUUCCAGGAAAAGCCUCUAAGCAUCAGGUAACAUCAAAUCGUACCCCAAACCGACACAGGUGGUCAGGUAGAGAAUACCAAGGCGCUUGAGAGAACUCGGGUGAAGGAACUAGGCAAAAUGGUGCCGUA